GGUGCCGCAGGCUCCGGGGCCUGCAUCCACAAAGAAUCUGUGUAGGAGUGCUGCUAAAGGAUCCGUUUUGCCCUUUAGAUCAUAAUGCGUAUGAUUAUACGGACAGGAGGGACCCUACUCUGAAACACUUUUUAAAUACGGGCCCUGGAUUACUACACAGAGACUUGCAGCAACCAGUGGUGACCAGGCAGUAUGGAAAGAAAAGGAACAGGUGAGAGACCAAUUAUUCUAUUCUAGUCUUGUCUGAUUUCUCUAUAUUAUUCAUCCAUAUAACCCCACUAAUAGCUACAGUUUGUAAUAACUACGAUUCAGCGGCAGUGCUAGGACAGUAAAUCCUUAAAUCGGUCUUCACAUCAAUAACGGUUCUUUCUUUUGUCAGAUCGUUUAUAAUGCAGGGAGAAAUACAGAGAUCAUCUUUCCCAUAGAUCAACGCCCUCUCUGUUACAUGGCCAGUCCAACUACACAGCUAAAUGAGGUUCAAGUUGCUUUUCAGAUAUUUGAAGUUGACUAAGUCAGAGAUGGUUUAGCCUUACAGGAUCGUGACUAGGGGCAGGAUGUACUGAAUGGCAAUGAAAGAGCCUUGCCCUAGCCAGAGGAACUCGACUCUAGCACACAGGGCAGAGUAUCAAUGUCUCGACUCAAGUUGCAAAUACAGAAACAGUGUCAGUCACCUGAGACCAAUAAGAGGGGGUGGUCUGGCCAGAAACACCCAGCUCUGUUUGGGCCAAUUCCAAACACCAGUGGACUGGGACUGUCUGGGAGUCAGAAGGGAGAGAGAGGACGCUUCUUCAGCAUGCCUGGAGCGGAGGAUAGUGCUCGCCUGCCAGGGCACUGGAGAGACGUGAGGGAGUGGAGCAUAGAGAAGAGACAGAGACACAGAAUGUGGGUCCAGGAUGUAGAAAAUGUCCUCAGUUCAAUGGCUAGGCAACUGUGUGCUUCCCUGGAUAAAUAUCCUCGCCACGAGCUUGGGGAUGGCUCAAAACACUUCUCCCCUUCCUUCCAAGACUGGUUUCCCUCCCGUCAUCCAGCCCUUACUUACAGACAGUUAUAGGUCCUCUGCACCCACAGACUGAAGAGCUAAGCCAUGGACCACAUUGCUCAGCAGCUAAAAUGGACAAUAGCAGCAUGAAGCCUUCCUCAUUGAUUGAUUUGAAAUGUUUAUUGGUGUGAAUCAUCUAGAAACCACCACAGGUAGUGCUGCCACAGAGGAGGAGUCAAAGAUCUUCAGUUAUAUACCAGAGACGCCAAAGCUCAUGAAAAUACAUUUCUAACCUUGUCCGACUCUCCCCAUUUUAGGGUAUGCAUUGAAAGCAAAGAGGAACAAAGGUGAUGCAACCAUUCCAAAGCAUGAUGUCUACUCCUCUAUGAUAAGUUGCUGUUUGACAUUCUGGAGAGGUGUAAUCAUAUAAAGACACAGAUGUCCUCCAAGAGUUACACUCUAAUAAAGGAUGAUGGAAAGUCAAACAGAGACCAGAGUUUACAGUCUGACCUUCUCUGGUCCAAGAGGCUGGAGACCACACCACCCUCCCGUCAAUUAAAUAAACAAGUGAUUUGUCUGAGCUACUCUCUGUUGUAUCUUUGUCUGAAAAUGUUGGUAGAGUUCGAAAUCUGGCAGUGGAAACAGAACACACAACAUAUCAGUAGGUGCACCUGCAGACCACUUGACUAAGUAUCCAUUUGAUAGGUUAUUGAUUCUAUUGGAGGCUCUGUGGCUUAGGAGGGAAAUGGGACUGUGUGGUUGGUAGUUGAAUGAUUUCUUGGAAGCAGAUAUGAUUUGGUGUCUAUAUAUAGGGUCUCAACAGACGGAGCAGUGCGACCUGUACUGUGUCAGCUGACUUCCUGGUCCCUAGUCUCCUCGGCCCCCA
rnacentral:lncRNA from 1 species